UGGCCCUGAGCUCAGCCCCCAGUUCACUGCAUGACAACCUGGUGAUUUGGUCUUGUUGCCUGCCGCCUUUGCUACCAAAUUUGUCUUCCUGACACAGAACGGACAAAUCGCUAGCUCACCCUGCUCUCACCAGAGGGGAUGUCUUCACCCGCCAACCCUCCCGGUCUAAUUCACAGGCUAAAUUUGACCACAUUAUCCCAAACCAAUAACUCUACAUGGCCGCUUAAAGGUGCUUCCACAACUUGCCAGUGAUCCAGGGAUCCGUAGGCCUUUCCCCUUCCCCCUUGUUCUCUCACCACUUUGUUUCUUCGCUCUUGAUCUGGUUCCCUGUCCCCUGAUUCUGCCAUCCCCGCAUCCCUUGGCCAUCUGCCCUGUACACUGCUCUGCUGAGCCUCUGCCUGUGCUUCUGCCUUCCACCGCCGCCGCCUCCCACACCCUCACCGCGCCUGCCUCAGCCCUGCCGCCUGGCACUCAACUGCCCGGGCACAAACUCUCUUGCCCUGCACAGCCCAGAGCGCCCUGAGUGUGCUCGCUCUCCCGCCUGAGCAGAGUUGCUAGGAGACAGACAGACUGCGGCUUCCGGAGCUGCUGUCUGUCCCACCCCGCUUGCCGACAUUCUGCUCUGCUGAGAUGCAGGCGCACUCCCGUGGCCACCGCCCGCUGCCAAGCUGAGCUACGUGUCCCUCGAGCCACGUAGAUUCUUCUUUAUGUUUGUCUCUGCUGUUCCAUUCUAAGAUACCCAGCUACAUUUCUACAGCUUCAUUCUAAAAUAUAACAUGAGACUUUCCUCCAGGCGGAGCUGUAGCUUCAGCGCCAUCUUAGCUAAGGGCAGUCAUGUGGCUGGCUGUAGCUUCAGCACCAUCUUUGUUAUGGGCAGUCCCCAGUUCACUGCCUUUUGAGAGUACUGCCUGUCAAAGUCACUUAGCAAUUAAGAUAAGAUUUUUCAUUCUAACCUGCCUUGGUAAAAAAUUAUUUCUAAACAGUAAAAAGUUAAAGAUCACUGCCUUAAAUAUACGUUUAGCCUUGUUUCUGCUACUGUCCUUAAGUCACAGUGCGCUCUCUUUAUUUGAUAGAUACAUUCUAAAACAAAUAAUUAAACAAGCACAGGUUGUCUAGCUCAGAUAUGCUUAAUAGAUAUUAGCUCUCAAUCUUGUAAGAAGUCUGAUAAAUGUAACGUUAUGUGUUUAAGCUUAUGACAGCAGAGACACCUAAAGCCUAACAGUGAUCCCUCCCACCCCAAGGUCUCUGAGAAGAUAUGGGCACAGCAACAAGAUUCUACCUAGAUUGUGGCAUGAUAAAGACCAAGAAAGACAGCUCCAGCGUCUUGCCUGUUGCCAGAGCUUGGUCUACACUGUGGAUAAACACACGAUACCUUUAGAGUCAAAUGUCUCCUAUUGCCUAAGUCAAGGUGGGCCAUUUCUCAUUUCACACGCAUCUACUCCACAGAAAAAGCUUCUCGACUUCUGGGCCAGACAACCAGACUGACUCUGCUCAGGUUGCCAUGGAGACUACAGGGACCUGGGAACUGUAGGUAAUGGACUAUAGACCAGUCUCUGUCAUUUUAAUUAAUGCAUGAUUCCCAGAUUAUAAUUUCUUCUUCCCAGGUUUCUGACAGCAUCGACAGCUAAGGUAACCGUAGCUUGACAGCUAGAAAACAGACCUAGUUCCUUAGCCCAAGGUAAUCUACCACCUUAUUGGCUCAUUAGUUAAUCUGUUAACUAGCUGAGGCUGCCCGAUCUCUUAUCAGAAAGACAGGUUUGCCUUGCUCACAGACUUCACGAUGAAGGAUACAUGAGUUCAUGUGUUGGCGUUCACAGAUGCAACCUUCUGUUACUUCCCCAUCAAAACUCAGUUUCUAGUGAUUAAACGCUUCGUAUUUCCUCUCCUUGCUAUGCCGUUGUCCUACUGUUAACCAAUAGAGUUCUUUUAAAUUAGCCCAGCUCUAAUAAAACAUUCCACUGUGUAAUCUACAUUUAUAAUAAAAAAAAUUCAGCUUCCUUUGGCUGCCUUUAAGCUAUGGAUUUAAGGUGUUUCUCUUGCUAAACCAUAUGAUCAACUGUCUUAUUCACAAUGUCAAGGUUUUGAGUUUCUUUUGUCUUUUAAAUGUAAACUUAAAAAUGUUUCUCACUGUGCUAUUCAGUCUCCUUGACAGAAGCUAAAAGCCCUUCUUGCUCCUUCUGCUCCACAAAAGGUUUUUUGACUUCCCUAAGCUCAUCUUAAAGACAGUUCACACUGAUAACAUCCAGGACACUCUAGAGAAGCAACCCACAGACGCUCCAGUCUAUUCUCACAGACACGGACGCUUCUACUGGACCUGCUUCUUCCUAUCCGCAGAUGGUUCACAGACCCUGGCCGGCUCUUCUAAGACUGGACCAGUAUCCCAGUACCCAUUCUCGUAGGUUUCCCAGAGACACGUUGCCCCAAAGUCAACAGGAAGUAGCUAAAGAUUAUGACCACCCAAUUCCUGCUUCAACAUCGCCCCUUUCUAGUUUUUCCUUUUCUUUAAUUAAACCAAAAUGGGGGGAAUGUUAGCAUUUUUUCAAGGCCCCACCCCACAGUUACCUGGCAACAGCCAAGUAUGCCUGACUCAUUAUAAAAGGGGUUGUUUGCCCCCUCCUUAUUCUCUUACUCUCUUAUUCUGUCCCUUCUCUCCCCAUUCCCCUCCCCCAUCUCUCUACGUGUUCCUGGCCCGGUCUCUCAUUCAUUCUCUCUCUCUCUCUCUCUCUCUCUCUCUCUCUCUCUCUCUCUCUCUCUCUCUGCUUUUCUCUCUCUCUCCUCCCUCCUCAACUCCUUUUCCCAUGCCCUAAAUAAACUCUGUGACCUGAAUUCACAUAAACUGUAAAUUCCAUACUAUAUCCAGUCAUACAGCUGAUACCUCAGGGGGAAGGGUGCCUCAACAUGAGCCUGUAGAGGCAUCCCCUUCCACCUCACCAUUACCGUGUCUCUACCAAACGUAUCCUGGUUCUUACUUUCUUAUAAUAAAACACCAUAAUCUUUAACUACCUUGACCCUGCCUUUGUAGCCUGAUUUGUUGGUAUUCUGUCUAAGCUCCACCCCCACAGCUACCUGGCAACAGCCAGGUAUGCUCCACCCCCACAGUUGCCUGGCAACACCCAGCUGUGCCUGACUAUAAAGGGGGCUGCUUGCCCCUUCCUCUCCCUCUUACUCCUCUCUCUUGCUCUUCCUCUUCUGGUGACCUCUUUGUCUCUGUCCCUUCUCUCCCCAACCCCCUUUCCCCCAACGUGCCCAUGGCCAGCCUUCUUUGUUCCUCCCCUCUUCUACUCUUUUUCUCUCACUAAACCUCUCCAUGUGGAACCAUGUUGGUUUGGUGUGCUUUGUCUGGGCACGAGCCGAGAUUUUAAACCCCAACAUUGGUGACCCGUAUGUGGUUUUUGAUCUCCCCAUACCUACGUGGCCUGGCAGGAGCCCUGCACACCUGCCGCUCCCACUACAGUGCCUGCGGGCCCCCAGCCUGCAUUUGCUCACUUGGGUCACACUUUCUCUUGAGGAGGAGAGGAGGAGCAGUGGGGCUGUGGUGGGGAGAGAUGGAGCUGCACUCCUACUGCAGCGCCCACUGGUCCUCAGUCCACACUGGGCCCCAGGGCAGGGUCGAGGCUGCUCAGCUUGGGCUGUGGUGAGGAUCAAUCCCGCCAUUACACCUGAAUUUGAUCGCAGCUGCUGCCUCCCCUAUGUAGAUAUACGCCAUUCGACCACUACCACCACCACCUGCUGGCUGCCAUGGGACUCAGGACUUCCACCAUAGCUACCCCGACCUAGAAGAUAACUUAAAAAGCUGGAGAGGGGGCCCCUAACUCCACCAGCAGAAGUUUUGGUGCUGGCCUUUAAAGUGCCAUGGGAGAGAUGAGAAGGGUUGCAGAAUGAAGUACCCUUUGCUGGCAAAGGCUGUCCAACCAGCCUCAGCCACUGCUCAGAACUCCUGGUCUUCUAAGGCUAAGGGACCACCAGGCUCCCGCUACAAGCAUGGUUGACAAGGUCACUGGACAAGGGCUUGCCCUAAUUUCUGCAAAGCAAGGAGGCCAGGUCCUAGGUGCCAUCAAGAGGGACACUGGGCUGUCGAUUGCCCUCAUGUUGCACAGUACAGGGGGACAUCACGUCCAGGUAACCCUCCAGCAGAUCUCCUAGACUUGGCUAUGGAUGACUGAAGGGGCCUGAGUUCUCUGGACCUGACCACUGCCAUCACCAGCAGGAAGCCUUGGGUAACCAUCAUGGUAUGUGGGCAGCUCAUCUCCUUCCUCUUGGACACUAGGGCCAUCUACUCGGUCCUAACAGAGUUUUGGAGAUCCACUUCUCUCUCCUGUUUCCUCAUUGUUGGGGUAGGGAGCAACCUUACCUUCCUCACCAAACCCCACCACUUGGCUACAUUUUUAGGGAUGUACCUCUCACCCAUUCCUUUUUGGUAGUGCCAACCUGCCUUGUCCCCUUAUUGGGAAGGGAUCUUCUAGCUCAGUUGGGAGUCUCUAUUUUGCUCCCCCCAUUUGCCCAAACUCAAGCUCGCCUGCAGCCCUUCUGCUCCCUCUAGCCAGCCAACCUACUAACACGGACAUGCUGCUUCCUUUACCAGCUUCUCAGGUAGACCCCCGAGUCUGGGAGAUCCAGAACCCCUCUGCUGCUAAACGAACAGUCUCUCCAAAUAGGAUCUGGAAACUGCUUUCUCUCUGUCUUUUUGUCGUGGCAAACUGUUUUAAGACAUCUAGGACACAUUCUGUAGGAUAAGUUCUUCCUUCUGCUCCAUGAAAAAACUUAUCUUAAAGAAUGUUCAUGGGUUGGAGAAAUGGCUCAGAGGUUAAGAGCACUGGCUGCUCUUCCAGAGGUCCUGAGUUCAAAUCCCAGCAACCACAUCGUGGCUCACAACCAUCUGUAAUGAGAUCUGGUGCCCUCUUCUGGUGUGUCUGAAGACAGUGACAGUGUACCCACAUACAUGAAAUAAAUAAAUAAAUAAAUAAACCUUAAAAAAA